rnacentral:rRNA from 1 species
UACGUAGGGUGCGAGCGUUGUCCGGAAUUAUUGGGCGUAAAGGGCUCGUAGGCGGUUUGUCGCGUCGGGAGUGAAAGCCAUGGGCUUAACUCAUGGCUUGCUUCCGAUACGGGCAGACUAGAGGUAUGCAGGGGAGACUGGAAUUCCUGGUGUAGCGGUGAAAUGCGCAGAUAUCAGGAGGAACACCGGUGGCGAAGGCGGGUCUCUGGGCCGAUACUGACGCUGAGGAGCGAAAGCGUGGGGAGCGAACAGG